UUGAUUAUCAAGGCAAUGACUUCAGAGCUAUAAUCUAUGAGUUAAUGCCUGGAAGAAGUUUAUAAAGCUGGUUAUAUCCACAAAAAGAUGUAGAAAAAGUAGGUACGUGAACUCAGAAGUCUUAAUCUUGAGCAGAGAUUAAAAUAUCACCAUCAAAGUUGCUUCUGCACUCGAGUAUCUUUAUCUUCACCGUCAUUGUCAACCAUCAAUAGUAUGAUGCAUGGAAAUGGUUUCUCCGUGUCGGAAUGGUUUCUCCUUGUCGUAAACGUUUCCGACACUCUCUUUCUUUAGAAAGCUUGAGAUCAAUGUGGGUUGAAUGGAAAUCGUAAAUGCGGAGGGAAAGAUAGGAAUUGAAACCGAUGUAGGUGAAUGGAAAUUGUAAAUGCAGAGGGAAAGAUAGGAUUUGAA
rnacentral:misc_RNA from 1 species